rnacentral:hammerhead_ribozyme from 1 species
AUCCAGUUGACGAGUUCCGAAUAGGACGAAACGUGCGUCCUUGAU